GGGCACAUCACAUGAGCUUUCUCUCGCUUUGAACUGAUUCUGUAUCUUCGGUUUAUUCUUGCCUUUCUGCUCUGCCAAGUAUCAAAGGCUGUGUUUCAACAAGUCUUGAAAGCUUGGAGAGGCAGAAUAAUGGCCCCCAAAGCUGUUCCCAUCCUAAUCCCCGGAACCUGUGAAGAUGGGUGGUGGCAACGGGGGGAUUAAGGUUGCAGGUGGAAUGAAGGUUGCUGAUCAACUGACUUAAGACAAGGAAAUGAAUCUGGAUUAUCCAGGUGCUGCUCCUCAAGCAGGGACUUUGGCCACCACGAG